AAUAUAAAUGGUCUUAUCGCCUGUUUUCAGGAGGAAAGUCCGGGCAAUACAGGGCACCACACUUCCUAACUGGAAGGGUCAUUUUUUAUGAUACAGAUAGUGCAACAGAAAAUAUACCGCAUCCUUUGGGUGUAAGGGUGAAAAGGUAAGGUAAGAGCUUACCGCCUCAAUGGUGACUUUGAGGGCAUUGUAAACCUUGUGGAUUGAAAGGCCAAAUAAACUCUGCUUAUUCUAAAUUUAUUUAGGGUGAAGGAUUGCUCGUCUUAUUUUUUCAUUAAAGGAAAAAGCAGAGAGGGUAGGCUGAUAAAAAUCAAUAGCAAUUUUGAUUUUAGAUAAAUGAUAAGAAUCUCUUAGAGAUACAGAACCCGGCUUAUAAGUUUAUAUUUAAU
rnacentral:RNase_P_RNA from 1 species